CAAACUAUAUUUUCCCGUAGAAGUUGCUCUUCCUGUGUUACAACCAGGGCUUGUUGUAUAUAAAUGCAGCACAUGCAUACCAGGGCCUACCACAGUCUUCACACUCAGAUGUUGCUUAGUAAUGGGAGGUGAAAGCAAAAGACCCAUUCCAGCUUAUUUAGCUGACAGCAUAGUUUAGAGCAACUGUUUGCUGAUGGGUUAUUUCUACAGCUCUCUACACGUAACAGUAAAUUCCACGUUUUGGCCUCUCCUGUUCCUGCCACACUCCUGUGAGGGAAUUUAUGAGAGGACCAGGCCUGGGCCUGCGACAGCUGUAUGCUAAAGAGAGAUGAGUGGAGGCAGAAUGUGGCUGCAUUCACCAAUCAGGGGAGGAAACUCUUGCCUGGAAUGGGCCCUGCAGCAUUUUUGGCUACAUUUCCCAAGUCGUUCCUGAUAACAGUGAAGCCUACGUUGUGACUGAAACUUUAAAUAUACCUUCUGGUCAUUCACUGGAACACAAAGGAAUUUAGGGGAUAAAAUUAACACGUGAUCUGUUAUACAUUUUUGGACUGUAUUGGACAUAUUUUGGGUUUGUGCUUAGAGAGUAUGGAGAAGACCUUUUAAAAGGAGGUAGGCCUCACUGUCUUCAUCUAAACAGGUCAUCUAGCUUGUGUAUUUUCUGCAUAUGUCUGUGCCUUCUCCCUCCUCAUCAGCUCCUCCCUCCAGGGUGAAAGAAUGACAGUAUGGCUGAUGGCACCACAGCUGAUUUAAAAGCUAUUAGCAGAAUAAACCCCCUUAAAGAAAAAGAUGCAGAAAACAGGCUGUGAGAUAAACUAUUUGUGCAACCUUCAGUGGAAGUGUGAGGGGAAGACCAAGAAAAUCAAAGACAUGAAAAGUAAAAAGUGUGAGAUCUCAUAAAAACAUGCAGAUGAGUGCAGCAUGUGUGUAUUUUUGGAACUGCUCUGGGUCCUUCUGGUUGACAACUCUGCCAUCAACUACAUCAUCUGGUUCCCUCCACACACUUGGUGUGAUCUGCAAAGUUGAAGGAAGAGCACUUUAUUACCUCAUUCAAGUUAUUGGUAGAGACGUUAAACAGGACAGUUAUAUGUGCAACAUUUGUGUUUCAAUAAUUCAAGUAGCUCAUUGAAUCUUCCUGCUUCUGAAACCCCCAGUUUGUUCUUAAUUCUGACCAGUUAAAUAGAUUUGGACCAAGGCAAAUUGAUGGGCUGUAUUGUAACACCAGAAAAUGUCUUUACUUCACUGAAAAUGUUGCAUGAAUGAGGGCUGAAAGAUUCUGUCCAAUAUGUGGUUCAUAAUAUAGGGCAGGUUUUCAGCAAAAGAAUUUCAAGAAAAGCUCUAGUUCAGCAAAUGCAUAAAAGCAAGUCCUUUGAUUUCCAUAGCUGUAGAGUAUAGUAUUGGCAUGGUGAGCUUGGUGUAUAAUUAUUUCUAAGAAUGAAUGCUAUUAAAGUUGAAAUAAAAGAUCUCUAUGAGAAAAUAUGAGCUCUAAAAUGUGAGUGCUACAUUCUACGGAUUGUCAUUAUUUUGAAGCCUUAAAAUAAAUAAAUGUUUCCAGAAGCAAACGCAUAC